CUUCAGCAGCCUUGGAGAAGCAUCAGCUGAGAGGAGCUAUCACAUGGGAGCCGGGAGCUGCUCAGCAAAGCCACUGUGGAGGGCACCAUCAAACACAGUAUGGCACGGUGGGCUGGAGUACUGGGCCUGGAGCAAGGCCUCCCGGGAGCGUACCUGGACCUUGCUACUUACUGGCUGUGUGACCUUUGAUGCCUUUAUGAGGAAACUGAAGUUCAGAAGAGUUAGUAGUUCCCAGACCUAGGACUGGAAACCAGAUCUCGUGCUCCUUCUUCUCCCCA